rnacentral:rRNA from 1 species
CGGCGCUGCCAGAGUUUGAUCCUGGCUCAGAGUGAACGCUGGCGGCGUGCCUAAUACAUGCAAGUCGAACGAUGAAGCCUAGCUUGCUAGGCGGAUUAGUGGCGCACGGGUGAGUAACGCAUAGAUNACAUGCCCUUUAGUUUGGGAUAGCCACUAGAAAUGGUGAUUAAUACCAAAUAUUACCCUACGGGGGAAAGAUUUAUCGCUAAAGGAUUGGUCUAUGUCCUAUCAGCUUGUUGGUGAGGUAAA